rnacentral:lncRNA from 1 species
GUGCGAGAGAUCGUGAAUCGAGGUGACAUUGACCUUCAGAAGAUCAAUGGAAAGGAGAACCUAGCCGACCCCUUCACUAAAGCUCUCGGGAUAAAAGAGUUCGAUGACUUCAAAUGAAAGAUAGGUAUAAGAUACUGCCUCAAUUGGCUUUAGUCCAAGUGGAAGUUGUUGGAAAUUAUGUUCUAAAAUCAAUCAUGUGACGAUUGAGUUCCUUCUUGUAUAUGA